UACGUAGGGUGCAAGCGUUGUCCGGAAUUAUUGGGCGUAAAGAGCUCGUAGGCGGUUUGUCGCGUCUGCUGUGAAAACUCGGGGCUUAACUCCGGGCCUGCAGUGGGUACGGGCAGACUAGAGUGCGGUAGGGGAGACUGGAAUUCCUGGUGUAGCGGUGAAAUGCGCAGAUAUCAGGAGGAACACCGGUGGCGAAGGCGGGUCUCUAGGGCCGAUACUGACGCUGAGAAGCGAAAGCGUGGGGAGCAAACAGG
rnacentral:rRNA from 1 species